UGCAAGAAAUGUGGGCAUGAAGAGACUGAAGAAAUGGCCAACCAAUAACCGGCCCAACAUUAGACCCAUCACAUGGGUCUUAUACUGAAGCUUUUAGCUUGAAGAUGUGACAAAUUAGAAGUUCCUCUACACUGUUGAAUAAUGAUUUGAGAAUGUGUGGGUUCUGAAGAGGCAUCCCAGAGUCAGCUCUUAUGUCGGAAAGGAAACAAAAUCAAAUAUCAUUAAACUAACUGAAAACUCAGUA